rnacentral:rRNA from 1 species
GAUGAACGCUGGCGGCGUGCUUAACACAUGCAAGUCGAACGGAAAGGCCGAAGCUUGCUUCGGUACUCGAGUGGCGAACGGGUGAGUAACACGUGGGUGAUCUGCCCUGUACUUCGGGAUAAGCUUGGGAAACUGGGUCUAAUACCGGAUAUGACGAUCUCUUGGAUGGGGUUGUGGAAAGCUUUUGCGGUAUGGGAUGAGCUCGCGGCCUAUCAGCUUGUUGGUGGGGUAAUGGCCUACCAAGGCGUCGACGGGUAGCCGGCCUGGGAGGGUGUACGGCCACAUUGGGACUGAGAUACGGCCCAGACGCCUACGGGAGGCAGCAGGGGGGAAUAUUGCACAAUGGGCGCAAGCCUGAUGCAGCGACGCCGCGGGGGGGAUGACGGCCUUCGGGUUGUAAACGCUUUUCGCAAUCGACGAAGCCUUUUGGUGACGGUAGGUUGAGAAGAAGCACCGGCUAACUACGU